rnacentral:tRNA from 1 species
GCGGGAAUAGCUCAGUGGUAGAGCGCCACCUUGCCAAGGUGGAUGUCGCGAGUUCAAGUCUCGUUUCCCGCUCCA